UCGUCUCUGGCGCAGCGGUACAAGGGUGUGACUGUAACGUGAUGGUUGUGGGUUCGAUCCCCACUUGAGGAA
rnacentral:tRNA from 1 species